UGGGGAAUUGUUCGCAAUGGGCGCAAGCCUGACGACGCAACGCCGCGUGGAGGAUGAAGACCUUCGGGUCGUAAACUCCUUUCGAUCGAGACGAAUGGCCUUCGGGUUAAUAGCCCGGAGGAGUGACGGUACCGAGAGAAGAAGCCCCGGCUAACUCCGUGCCAGCAGCCGCGGUAAUACGGGGGGGGCAAGCGUUGUUCGGAAUUACUGGGCGUAAAGGGCUCGUAGGUGGCCAACUAAGUCAGACGUGAAAUCCCUCGGCUUAACCGGGGAACUGCGUCUGAUACUGGAUGGCUUGAGUUUGGGAGAGGGAUGCGGAAUUCCAGGUGUAGCGGUGAAAUGCGUAGAUAUCUGGAGGAACACCGGUGGCGAAGGCGGCAUCCUGGACCAAUACUGACACUGAGGAGCGAAAGCCAGGGGAGCAAACGGGAUUAGAUACCCCCGUAGUCC
rnacentral:rRNA from 1 species